GCCUUCCAACCAGUUCAGUCGGUAGAGCAUGAGGCUCUUAAUCUCAGGGUUGUGGGUUUGAACCCCACUUUGGGCA